GAUGAACGCUGGCGGCGUGCCUAAUACAUGCAAGUCGAACGAACAGACGAGGAGCUUGCUCCUCUGACGUUAGCGGCGGACGGGUGAGUAAUACGUGGAUAACCUACCUAUAAGACUGGGAUAACCUCGGGAAACCGGAGCUAAUACCGGAUAAUAUAUUCAACCGCAUGGUUCAAUAGUGAAAGACGGUUUUGCUGUUACUUAUAGAUGGAUCCCCGCCGCAUUAGCUAGUUGGUAAGGUCACGGCCUACCAAGGCAGCGAUGCGUAGCCGACCUGAAAGGGGGAUCGGCCACACGGGAGGGGAGACAGGGUCCAGAGUCCUAAGAGAGGCAGCAGUAGGGAAUCGGCGGCAAUGGGGGGAAGCCUGGCGGAGCAGCGGGACGUGAGUGAUGGAGGUGUUGGGAUCGUAAAGCUGUGUUAUGAGGGAAGAACAAAUGUGAGAGUAACUGUGCACGGAUUGACGGUACCUAAACAGGAAGCCACGGCUAACUACGUG
rnacentral:rRNA from 1 species